CAUCAUACGUCGGCAGUCAUGGAUGUUGUAUCCUUGCUUUAGCUCAUUCGGCCCUUCAUCAUCCAAAUUGUUAGGUAUAUCUGUUUAGUCAUUUUCUCAUUGUAUGUACCCUACCAGAGUCCUCGUAAACUGUGUGUGUGUUAGCCAAAUGCCGUAUUCCUGAAUCUUCUUUUGAGUUUCGCAGAUAGCCAGGGACAUCGGGUCCGUCACCGACGCUUAUCUACAUUCUUCACUCCUUUCCCUCGGCCUAUCUUGCCUGACACGUCGAAAGAGGAUUUUGUGAAAAUCGUCGUCGAACGAGAAUGAUUAACAACCCAAAAUGUCGAUGGUAUAUACAGCACAUUGUUUCGUAUACAAACCGGUUUGAAGGGGACGCCAGCCGUCUCAGUGUCAUACUUGAAAUCUUCAGAGCAGUGAGAGGCUUGUGCGUGAGGUACAGGGUAGGGAUGCUGUACCAACGAUAUCUGCUGCUGGAGAUCGCGGAGGCAAGAAAUUACAGUUGAUGGAGGUAAGUAGAAGUCACAGUGAUGUUCGUUUGUUAAGUAACAUGAGAGUCAUGCGGUGAAAAUAGGAUCACAAAGAAGAAGUGUGUCCGUUACUGCGUCAUCUAAUAGAUUUGUCUUGAUUAAGCAGGCAGUGAUCACCCAUUUGUUAGACACUAGUUGAAGGUGGGAGUGAAGCAUAUAUAUGCCUGUGUUGCGGAAAGAGACUCAAGUUCAGCCGCCAACGAGUAUAUCUUCAUGUUUUAUCUCGAGUACCGAUGUGGACUGUACUUCAUUUGUUAAAUGAUUGUGCAGGUACCUUGGCACCACCAGAAAACUUGCCCUCCGCAUUCCAACUUCCACCAGCUGUGCUUCAAGCUAGAGGGUGCUGUCACCACUGCUUCCUCAAAGUUUAUCUGAUUUUGUGGACAAAAUAGUAAUACUGCAUUGACACCGCAUAUUUCACAUUGUUAUGAAUCCAGUGGGCUGCACCACUUGGGUUGCACUUCUUUUGUUUGUAUAAUCUUGCUGCCGUUCGAUAGCUUAGAGCAACCACAAUUCGUACUCGCAGAACCUGAGGAUGUCACAAAUCCCUCACACAUUCAGCGGUCAUCAGCACCCAUCGUGGAGGACCUAGUACCCAUGAGUGUUCCUUCAAGAAGUACUGGUGAGGGAAAUGAACUUGAUGAUUUCGUAAACUUUUAGUGAACUGCUUGCAUUUCUUGGCGACUAACACAAGGUAAUAGUUCUGUUUUUGUUUGCAAUUGUAUGCUGGUAAUAACGUAUUUCAUUUUGAGCAUGCUCCUUCUUAGCUGGACCACACUUUGUAGAGAAUCCAGCACUGCAGCGAGUCAACUAUGCCUGGGACCCCUGGUGCCUUACCAAACCAUUUUUCGGAACCUGGUCGACCCCACGGUUUUUUCUAGCAACGAGCACUUUGCUCUUUGCUCAGCUGACAAGUGGAAUGCGUACCUGCUGCCCGAAGACGUCGCUACGUUCUACGUCACCUGCUUAAAAGCGCUUCACUCCCUGGCUGGAAUUCAUAUCUUUUGAGCACUUUGCUAGAGCCAGGACUGUUCUUGUUGUGCAUAAAUAACAUCUUCUUGAUUAUCAACAGGCACGGCGGUUGCGCUGUCGUAGCGGUUCUUCAGCUCCUGCUGCUGCCACACUACCUGUUCCUCCGGCACCCAGAUCGAUGUAAUGGCGUCGAGAUUUGCCUCUGCCCAGCUGUACAGAUCGACGGGUCUCACUAUGUGACCUUUUAAGGGCCUCUGAAUGCUGGCUUUAGCAGCAAGCCACUUCGGAGUCCCAGCUCCAUCGCACGGCCCUUUCCC